rnacentral:rRNA from 4 species
UAAAUUUAGAGUUUGAUCCUGGCUCAGGACGAACGCUGGCGGCGUGCUUAACACAUGCAAGUCGAGCGAUGAAGCUUCCUUCGGGGAGUGGAUUAGCGGCGGACGGGUGAGUAACACGUGGGUAACCUGCCUCAAAGUGGGGGAUAGCCUUCCGAAAGGAAGAUUAAUACCGCAUAAUAUAAGAGAAUCGCAUGAUUUUCUUAUCAAAGAUUUAUUGUUUUGAGAUGGACCCGCGGCGCAUUAGCUAGUUGGUAAGGUAACGGCUUACCAAGGCAACGAUGCGUAGCCGACCUGAGAGGGUGAUCGGCCACAUUGGAACUGAGACACGGUCCAGACUCCUACGGGAGGCAGCAGUGGGGAAUAUUGCGCAAUGGGGGAAACCCUGACGCAGCAACGCCGCGUGGGUGAUGAAGGUCUUCGGAUUGUAAAGCCCUGUUUUCUAGGACGAUAAUGACGGUACUAGAGGAGGAAGCCACGGCUAACUACGUGCCAGCAGCCGCGGUAAUACGUAGGUGGCGAGCGUUGUCCGGAUUUACUGGGCGUAAAGGGUGCGUAGGCGGAUGUUUAAGUGGGAUGUGAAAUCCCCGGGCUUAACCUGGGGGCUGCAUUCCAAACUGGAUAUCUAGAGUGCAGGAGAGGAAAGCGGAAUUCCUAGUGUAGCGGUGAAAUGCGUAGAGAUUAGGAAGAACACCAGUGGCGAAGGCGGCUUUCUGGACUGUAACUGACGCUGAGGCACGAAAGCGUGGGUAGCAAACAGGAUUAGAUACCCUGGUAGUCCACGCCGUAAACGAUGGAUACUAGGUGUAGGGGGUAUCAACUCCCCCUGUGCCGCAGUUAACACAAUAAGUAUCCCGCCUGGGGAGUACGGUCGCAAGAUUAAAACUCAAAGGAAUUGACGGGGGCCCGCACAAGCAGCGGAGCAUGUGGUUUAAUUCGAAGCAACGCGAAGAACCUUACCUGGACUUGACAUCCCUUGCAUAGCCUAGAGAUAGGUGAAGCCCUUCGGGGCAAGGAGACAGGUGGUGCAUGGUUGUCGUCAGCUCGUGUCGUGAGAUGUUAGGUUAAGUCCUGCAACGAGCGCAACCCUUGUUAUUAGUUGCUACCAUUAAGUUGAGCACUCUAAUGAGACUGCCUGGGUAACCAGGAGGAAGGUGGGGAUGACGUCAAAUCAUCAUGCCCCUUAUGUCCAGGGCUACACACGUGCUACAAUGGUAGGUACAAUAAGACGCAAGACCGUGAGGUGGAGCAAAACUUAUAAAACCUAUCUCAGUUCGGAUUGUAGGCUGCAACUCGCCUACAUGAAGCUGGAGUUGCUAGUAAUCGCGAAUCAGAAUGUCGCGGUGAAUACGUUCCCGGGCCUUGUACACACCGCCCGUCACACCAUGAGAGCUGGUAACACCCGAAGUCCGUGAGGUAACCGUAAGGAGCCAGCGGCCGAAGGUGGGAUUAGUGAUUGGGGUGAAGUCGUAACAAGGUAGCCGUAGGAGAACCUGCGGCUGGAUCACCUCCUUU